rnacentral:misc_RNA from 1 species
GGAGAAGGACCAAAUAACCAGUCUGCCAUGGUUAGAACAUUGAGGAGAACUACUUCAUAUGUGGAUGACCAGGAUUACAUUUUUGUUGGCUUUCAGGAUGUUGUACAAACAUUCCUAGCUCAACUUCUCAAAGAAGAGCCUCGUCGAAGUUUCCUCUUCAUUUAUUCAAUGAUGGGUUUAGGCAAGACCACUCUUGCGAGAAACCUCUUAAAAAUUCCUAAUAUAG